ACCCUUACUGAAUUCAUCUGUUCCUGUAGUCUUCCAGCUUGCAAUAACUAGACUGCUGAUCUAAUUUGUACUGCUGAUCUUCUAGUAUCAGAAGUUCUUUUAAGUAAGAAAUAUCUUUCAGGGCAUCUUGAAUGUUGACAUGUGUACUGUGCAGAAUUUCAGUAACAAAUAACAACAUUUUCAAAUGUUUCAAAUGAAUAAAAAUAAAUUAUAGGUAUACCAAGGAGGAAAUAACAGAGAAUUUGAAUGAAUUUUUUCCUUCCAUCUUUAAUAUCUUUACUGCUGAGAAAUUAGGACUUCAAAACUGGUUUACAUUACUGAGAAAAUAAUUAUUCAGGCAAAUCUGAGUAAUGAAGGAUAAAAUUAUAAGCUGAACUGAUGACUAAAAUAAAUCAAUCUCUGGAUCCAAAUAAAAUGCAUCAAAGAAAAUUUAAAAAUAAAAAUAGGAAAAGGUAUGCAAUUUCUUCUGAAUGUUGACAUAUUUUCUUGAGGACAAAAAAGUACCAUAAUUUUUUAAAAUAUAUUGAAAGUUGUUAAAGGUUAACAUUUGUUUUGGGGAAAAUUCUUGGAAUUAAGCAAAAACAGAGAAGCACGAGCCUUACUAAAAAACAACCAACAUGAAUCUCUCCAUUAAUCUUGUGCUUUUUAAAGGAUGUUCAAAGAGCAUGUAGACAAGGAUAAGCCAAUAAAUAUAUAUUAUACUUACAUUUUCAAAAAGCAUUUAACAAGUCUCUUACCAAAGCUUCCUAAGCAAAUUCACAAAUCCAGCUGUUGUUAAAAAGACAGGGCUGUCAAAGACAGGCAACCAAUUAUAAAAUAAAAACGAGAAUAUGAUUAAAUGGGAAAUUCUUAUGUUGUUGGAAUCCUACAGGAGUCAAUGCUGAGACAAGAGUUUUUGAUCUAGCAAAAUGAUUUGAAGUUAAGAGUUGGUUAGUGCCGACGAUAAAGAUCGGCCGGCUGCGCCAACCGUAAGCCAUAAGAUCAUCUAAGCAAGCAGACCCACUGUGGAAGAUUUGCCUUAAAUAGAUUUGUUAUGACUAAAGAUUGAAUACUUUUCCUCAAAGUUAUUGUGAUAGCAACGCAUUUGAUACAGAGAAUAGAGGAAAGAACAAGAGGAACAACC